GACGGGGGGGCAAGUGUUCUUCGGAAUGACUGGGCGUAAAGGGCACGUAGGCGGUGAAUCGGGUUGAAAGUGAAAGUCGCCAAAAAGUGGCGGAAUGCUCUCGAAACCAAUUCACUUGAGUGAGACAGAGGAGAGUGGAAUUUCGUGUGUAGGGGUGGAAAUCCGUAGAUCUACGAAGGAACGCCAAAAGCGAAGGCAGCUCUCUGGGUCCCUACCGACGCUGGGGUGCGAAAGCCAUGGGGAGCGAACAGG
rnacentral:rRNA from 1 species